CGGAAGUUAGGUAAUGGUGCUGGAAAAGAGUUUGGUGGGUAAAAGGGGUUUGCAGCAGUGUGUGGAGGAGCAGGCCACAAAGAACCUUUUCAGCAGCAGUUUGAUCUCACCUGGAUGCACAUCAGAGGACAAAUGCAGUUCCCUGUGAAGCCAUCACCAAUUGGCACCCACUGGCAGGUAACUGCUCUCUCCUGAAAUGUCAGAUUGACUCUUCAUCUUCCACGGGCUGGGUGUGAGCGCGUGUGGCGGGUACAGCCCGCCUCCCUUCAUCUGCAAGGAAAAAGAGUCACUGAGAUUGAUUGCACAAUUGAA